AUUGAACGCUGGCGGCAUGCCUUACACAUGCAAGUCGAACGGUAACAGGUCUUCGGAUGCUGACGAGUGGCGAACGGGUGAGUAAUACAUCGGAACGUGCCUAGUAGUGGGGGAUAACUACUCGAAAGAGUGGCUAAUACCGCAUGAGAUCUACGGAUGAAAGCAGGGGAUCGCAAGACCUUGUGCUACUAGAGCGGCCGAUGGCAGAUUAGGUAGUUGGUGGGAUGAAAGCUUACCAAGCCGACGAGCUGUAGCUGGUCUGAGAGGACGAUCAGCCACACUGGGACGGAGACACGGCCCAGACUCUUACGGGAGGCAGCAGUGGGGAAUUUUGGACAAUGGGCGAAAGCCUGAUCCAGCAAUGCCGCGUGCAGGAUGAAGGCCUUCGGGUUGUAAACUGCUUUUGUACGGAACGAAAAGCCCCGGGUUAAUACCCUGGGGUCAUGACGGUACCGUAAGAAUAAGCACCGGCUAACUACGUGCCAGCCGCCGCAGUAA
rnacentral:rRNA from 1 species